rnacentral:rRNA from 1 species
GACGAACGCUGGCGGCGUGCCUAAUACAUGCAAGUUGAGCGCUGAAGGUUGGUACUUGUACCAACUGGAUGAGCAGCGAACGGGUGAGUAACGCGUGGGGAAUCUGCCUUUGAGCGGGGGACAACAUUUGGAAACGAAUGCUAAUACCGCAUAAAAACUUUAAACACAAGUUUUAAGUUUGAAAGAUGCAAUUGCAUCACUCAAAGAUGAUCCCGCGUUGUAUUAGCUAGUUGGUGAGGUAAAGGCUCACCAAGGCGAUGAUACAUAGCCGACCUGAGAGGGUGAUCGGCCACAGUGGGACUGAGACACGGCCCAAACUCCUACGGGAGGCAGCAGUAGGGAAUCUUCGGCAAUGGACGAAAGUCUGACCGAGCAACGCCGCGUGAGUGAAGAAGGUUUUCGGGUCGUAAAACUCUGUUGGUAGAGAAGAACGUUGGUGAGAGUGGAAAGCUCAUCAAGUGACGGUAACUACCCAGAAAGGGACGGCUAACUACGUG